AGUAACGCGUGAGAAUCUAGCUUCAGGUCGGGGACAACCACUGGAAACGGUGGCUAAUACCGGAUGUGCCGAAAGGUGAAAGAUUUAUUGCCUGAAGAUGARCUCSCGUCUGAUUAGCUAGUAGGUGUGGUAAGARCGCACCUAGGCGACGAUCAGUAGCUGGUCUGARAGGAUGAUCAGCCACACUGGGACUGARACACGGCCCARACUCCUACGGGAGGCAGCAGUGGGGAAUUUUCCSCAAUGGGCGAAAGCCUGACGGARCAAUACCGCGUGAGGGAGGAAGGCUCUUGGGUUGUAAACCUCUUUUCUCAGGGAAUAAAAAAAUGAAGGUACCUGARGAAUAAGCAUCGGCUAACUCCGUGSCAGCAGCCGCGGUAAUACGGARGAUGCAAGCGUUAUCCGGAAUGAUUGGGCGUAAAGGGUCCGCAGGUGGCAAUGUAAGUCUGCUGUUAAAGAAUGAGGCUCAACCUCAUACCAGCAGUGGAAACUACAUAGCUWGAGUGCGUUCGGGGUAGAGGGAAUUCCUGGUGUAGCGGUGAAAUGCGUAGAUAUCAGGAAGAACACCGGUGGCGAAAGCGCUCUACUAGGCCGCAACUGACACUGAGGGACGAAAGCUAGGGGAGCGAAUGGGAUU
rnacentral:rRNA from 1 species